rnacentral:rRNA from 1 species
AUACGUAGGUGGCAAGCGUUGUCCGGAAUUAUUGGGCGUAAAGCGCAUGUAGGCGGUUUGGUAAGUCGGUCGUGAAAAUGCGGUGCUUAACGCCGUAUGGCGAUUGAAACUGCUGAACUUGAGUGCAGGAGAGGAAAGGGGAACUCCCAGUGUAGCGGUGAAAUGCGUAGAUAUUGGGAAGAACACCGGUGGGGAAGGCGCCUUUCUGGACUGUGUCUGACGCCCAGAUGCGAAAGCCAGGGUGGCGAACGGGAUUAGAGACCCCGGUAGUCCUGGCCGUAAACGAUGGGUACUAGGUGUGGGAGGUAGCGACGCCUUCCGUGCCGGAGUUAACGCAAUAAGUACCCCGCCUGGGGAGUACGGCCGCAAGGCUUAAACUCAAAUGAAUUGACGGGG